rnacentral:rRNA from 1 species
UACGUAGGGGGCUAGCGUUGUCCGGAAUCAUUUGGGCGUAAAGGAGCGUGUAGGCGGCCCCUUAAGUCCUGCUGUGAAAUCCUGCGGCUACAACCGCGAGACGGUCGUGGGAAACUGGAGGGCUAGAGUGCGGGAGAGGAGAGUGGAAUUCCCGGUGGUAGCGGUGAAAUGCGCAGAUAUCGGGAAGAACACCCGUGGCGAAGGCGG